rnacentral:rRNA from 1 species
UCUGGCUCAGGACGAACGCUGGCGGCGUGCUUAACACAUGCAAGUCGAACGGUGAAGGUGGAGCUUGCUCUGCUGGAUCAGUGGCGAACGGGUGAGUAACACGUGAGUAACCUGCCCCUCACUUCGGGAUAACCUCGGGAAAUCGUGGCUAAUACCGGAUACGAGGCACCUUCGCAUGGGGUGUGCCUGGAAAGAUUUAUCGGUGGGGGAUGGACUCGCGGCCUAUCAGCUUGUUGGUGGGGUAAUGGCCCACCAAGGCGACGACGGGUAGCCGGCCUGAGAGGGCGACCGGCCACACUGGGACUGAGAUACGGCCCAGACUCCUACGGGAGGCAGCAGUGGGGAAUAUUGCACAAUGGGCGCAAGCCUGAUGCAGCGACGCCGCGUGGGGGAUGAAGGCCUUCGGGUUGUAAACCCCUUUCAGCAGGGAAGAAGCGAGAGUGACGGUACCUGCAGAAGAAGCGCCGGCUAACUACGUGCCAGCAGCCGCGGUAAUACGUAGGGCGCAAGCGUUGUCCGGAAUUAUUGGGCGUAAAGAGCUCGUAGGCGGUUUGUCGCGUCUGGUGUGAAAACUCAAGGCUCAACCUUGAGCUUGCACCGGGUACGGGCAGACUAGAGUGCGGUAGGGGUGACUGGAAUUCCUGGUGUAGCGGUGGAAUGCGCAGAUAUCAGGAGGAACACCGAUGGCGAAGGCAGGUCACUGGGCCGCAACUGACGCUGAGGAGCGAAAGCAUGGGGAGCGAACAGGAUUAGAUACCCUGGUAGUCCAUGCCGUAAACGUUGGGCAMUAGGUGUGGGGCUCAUUCCACGAGUUCCGUGCCGCAGCAAACCGCAUUUAA